GAACAGAAGAGAACAGGAGGAGAAGGAGAGGAAAGAAUUAGAGGAAAACUAUGAGAAAAAACUGGAGGAAAUGAAGAAGAAAUAUGAAGAGGAGGCCAGAAAACAAGCUGAAGAGUUCAAUGAGUUCAGAAAGAAAUACACCAAGGACUUUACAGCGUUGGUGGAGAAGCACAUGGAGGAAAUACAGGAAAUAAGGCUAAGGCAUGUGAGACAGAUGCAGGAGAAAGAAGAGAGCCAUGGCAAAGAGUACUCUCUGUUACAGAAUCUCUCCAGUCACAAAGAAAAAGCACUGAAAGAAGAAACGGAGGACUUGAAGAAAAAGCAUGAACAAGAAAUAAAUGAACUAAAACGGCAAUACAAAGAUAAAUGUAUCAUCCUCUGACCUUUCCUCUGACUUUUGGAUUUGAGCAUCACUGGGCUGUAUAAUGCUCAACAGAGUCCAAUUAGACCACAAUGUUUGGUACUAAUAUUUUGACUUUUCUUUUUUAUAUAUUUUUAUUAAAGCUAGAGUAUGGGACUUUUACAAUAAAAAGUGAACGUCUCUCACAUUCAAGCCCUUGCCAAAAAAGUUCACACAAUGGCCUCUCGUCGUCAGGGAAAGCUCUUUAUUUCUCAGUACAACAGAGUGGUGUCUGUGGAAACAACAACAACAAGGAUGCGUUUUACAUCAACUAGCCAGAGCUAAAGGGGACAGGAAGGGCGGAGAGAUAUUUAAAUGUACCAACAAAAAAGCUGUCAAAACAUAUAACCUGUGUAAUCUUUACAAGACAUUUAACGUUUUAUUUUUUUAAAGUCUUUUUUAUUACAAUGUUUAGUUCCCCUGGCGAAGGAGCCCAGCCGAGAGAUGGAGCAGCAACUGCGGCUAACUAACUUAAGGUUGGAGUAAAUUAACCACAUAAGUAUACAGAUCACUUCCUGGGUGUAGGUAUACCUUUAGUUUUACUUGGCGCCUGUCCAUUUAGUAAAUAAAUGUAGUAAGUCAAUCCUGUUACUGUAAGUGUGUUCAUGUUUCCGACAUGUUCCUUCUGUUCUGUUUAUUGAUUAAUUGAUAAUUACAAACUGUGUCAGGAUGAAUAACCAAUGUAUUCUUAAAUAUCAGUAACCAGCCAGUAACUGUCGCUAGUUACAGUACCUACAUUGUAUGUGUUAUCCUUUGUGUGUUUUAAUAUAAUAUCUUAAAAUAUUUAGAGUGCUUGAUGCAACAAGAGGGCUCCCUGUCUAUAUCCUCAGGCUUUUCUUACAGUCUGUUUCCUGUUCAAUGAGCUACAGCCUGAUUAUUGUCACUGCAGUUUAAAUUCACAUCAUAUAUAACGACUAUUCCUAUUAUCAUUUAUAUCAUUCAGUAUCGUGAGCCGUUCUGUUGAUCAUUGGUUCAGUAAUAUUUUUUUGCAUAAUAAACAUGUUAUUACACUCCAUAGUAUAUACUGUUUUGUGCAGUAUUGUUCUGUAACUUCUACACCACCAAGGUCCAUGUUGCUGUACUGGAGCUUUCGAUCGAAUGAUCGUCCUCCUUAUACUUAUUUUUUAUUUUAACCUUUUUAAUCCUAUUUGAAUGUGUAUUUUUAUAUUGUCUUGUGAUCUUUUCGUAAUGUCUUUCUAUCUAAUGUAAAGCACCUUGUUGUUGAAAGGUGUAUACUAAUAAAUGUACCUUGACAUUCAUGACUUUGUAUGACAUAUGUAUGACACAUGUACGUGUAUGUGACAAUAAAUUACCUUUACCAGAGCCGUAUAUAUCUCAACAACUAUUGGAGGGAUUGUGAUGAAAUAUCAUUCAUGUUCCCCUCAGGAUGAAUUGUAAAAACGUUUGUGAUCCUCUGACUUUUCAUCUAGCGCUAUCAACAUGUCAAUAUUUUAACGUGUCAAAUACUUUGGUUUAUGACCAAAUACAUGCGUGAACAUUCCCAUCAGCCUCAGCUGUCUUGUGUUUGUCAAGAAUCGUUCAGCGGGUGUUAGCGAAGAAGCCGUCUUCACCUCUACAGAAGCAUUUUAACUCUAUACUCACCCUUCCUGUCUGAUGAGUCAAUCAUAACUUUCCUGUUGCGGUGGAAUCCAUGAUUUCAGUGAAUACCCUGAGGUUUACCCCCCCCCCCCUUGACAGACACCUACUCCAGCCAAGAUAACCACCUGCAAGACUCCACCGACAGAUACACCUGAGACUCACCUGCACAGGGUGUGAUGGUGGGAAUGGGACAGAAGGACAGCUACGUGGGAGACGAGGCCCAGAGCAAGAGAGGCAUCCUGACCCUGAAGUACACCGUCCAGUUCUGCAUCAUCACCAACUGGGAUGACAUGGACAUUGCAGGGUCCAGUACCUUCUUAAAGCGAGAAUCAUCCAGAGAGGAAGUACUCUGUCUGGGUCAGCGGCUCCAAGAUAGCAGCUCUCUCUCCACGUGUUUAUCCCUUUAAUGUUAAUGCAUUACCACCCCUCACCCGCUCUGAUAUCAAACGACCAUCUGGACCCCCUUCAACCCUCCUCAGGAGCAGCUGAUACUAUCUAACUGCAAUCAUCCAGUCUGUUCUCUGCACCUCCAUCACUGUGUGGUUUGGAUCAGCCACCAAACAGGAACAGACAGUCACGACGACUGCAGAGAAAAUCAUUGGUGCCAAACUGCCCUUCAUCUCCAGGAUUAAUACUCCUCCUCCAGAGUCAGCAGAAAGCAUCAGCGCAGACCUUUCACACCCUGAACUCAACCUGUUUCAGUUUCUGCCCUCUGUGUACACUCCUCCUGCCUCUCUCCUAUGUUCCAACAGAAGAGCUCUCCUGUGGCCCUUUUAUUGCUAAAGCUCAGAUUGCUAAUGGAACAAUUGUGCAACAUGUUUUUGCCCAUGUGAGGAUGACCACGUCAUGAUGAGUGAUGAUUGGAUACAACAGGAUUUUAUC